rnacentral:rRNA from 1 species
AUUGAACGCUGGCGGCAGGCUUAACACAUGCAAGUCGAACGAGUGGCGGACGGGUGAGUAAUGCUUGGGAAUCUAGCUUAUGGAGGGGGAUAACUACUGGAAACUGUAGCUAAUACCGCGUACCAUAGGAUGAGCCAAAGUUGGAUUAGGUAGUUGGUGAGGUAAAGGCUCACCAAGACGACGGUCUCUAGCUGGUCUGAGAGGAUGACCAGCGAUCCUGGGAUUGGGACAGGGCCAAGACUCCUACGGGGGUCAGUGGUGGGGAAUAUUGGGAAAUGAGGACAGACGGACGCAGUCGUGCCGGUUGAAUGAAGAAGGCUUUCGGGUUUUAAAGUCCUUUCGGCAGCGGGGCGUUACCUACAUAAGAAGCACCGGCUAACUCCGUGCCAGCAGCCGCGGUAAUUC